UUAGGAAUAUAUAUAUGAGAGCUUGAUGACUUGCACCCAAACGUUAACUCAACUAAAUUCUAACUACUUUUACAGUUGAACCGCCGGAGUCGCCGUCUCUGUAUAUUGGUCCCGGUGCCGAGACUUCGGCGUCGCAACAGGUUGAGGUGGAGGAGGAGAUCGAGGAGCCAGAGGAGGUUGAGCCGUCGCCAGCUGCUGUUCCUUUCUCCCGCCUCUUCGCUUGCGCCGGUCGUUUUGACUGGUUCCUUACUUCCUUAUGAUCUGCUGCAGCUCACGGCACCGCUCUCGUCGUUUACUUGCAUUUCUUUGCCAAAAUCAUCCAGGUUCCUCGGCAAGAUGCCCAGUUUCACACGUUCAAGGAGAGGUCAGAGAAUAAAACAUGAUUCUCAUAAGGAGUAUGCUGCCUACAACUCUGCAUUGAUGAAAACUAUUAAGGGUGCAACAACUGGUUUAAUUUCUGGCACCAUCUGGGUACUGUUGUUGCCACCUGGAAUCAUGUUCCUCGUGUUGAGAGAAACGUUGCUCUUCCAUGCCUCAUAAGAACUUUCAAGAUGAUGGGCAACUAUGCAUUGACCUUUGUUGCCAUAGGAGGAGUCUACAUUGGUGUUAAGCAGUUGGUGCAGAACGCUAGGAUGAAGAGGGAUCUUGUCAACGGUGAUGUAGGUGUGCAACUGUUCUGGGUUACAAAGAGGACUUGACCUCAUGAUACUGUCACACAAACAAGAAGGAAUCAGUGGAGAAUGGAUCCUUACAAGCUCCCACCCAAAUGGCCUGUGGCUUGAACAAUUUUGAGAGGUGCUGACAAGCCUUAGGAAAGUGCUGCAUGUCAGUUAUUUAUUUGUUUUUCUAAUUAACUGUUGAAUUUUAUUCAUUAUUGGUCCUUGGCCCCAGGCACAAUUUGAUGCUGGAGGCUGCCUCUUGUGCCAAUAGAAAAUAAAUAGUAGGAUGGGCUUGUAUGUAAUAAUGUUGUAUCUUUGUGCAUUGAUUGCUUGAGUUUUGAAAGAAGUUUCUUACUCUGA